rnacentral:tRNA from 1 species
GGAGAGUUCGCAUAGUGGUCUAGUGCGCUCGCUUGGAAAGCGAGUAUACCGCAAGGUAUCACAGGUUCAAAUCCUGUACUCUCCGCAA